rnacentral:lncRNA from 1 species
GUAUGCAGUUGUAUAAACAUCAUCAUCAUAAAUAUUUAUAAGAAAUAUGCAGGAUGUAUGAAAGACUCACAUAGCCCGAAGAAAAUCAUCAUAAUCAUGAGAGGAUGAAAUAAGUACAAUAACACAUGUGAGUCAUCAUAUAAUUUGUCAAUCACUUUCAGUUCAUCAAGAAUAUCAAUUCUCAUAAUGUAAAUAUCAUUUAAAUCUUUCGAAAGAAUA